CACUUAUCAAGGCUGAGGCCUAUGAGGAAGCCACACCUAUUGUGAGAUGGCUUGGCCAGUACCAACAGGGAGAUGGAGGUUAUGGGUCAACUCAGGCUACCAUAAUGGUGUACCAGGCAAGUUCAGAGUACUGGAUCAAUGCUAAAGAACCAGAGUAUAAUGUGGAUGUAGACAUCCUGCUACCCGGCAGAAAAACGACUGACAAGUACAGCUUCAGCGAGGCAAAUCGUUUUACCACGAGAACAUCAAAGGUGAGCCGAGCAUCUUGUUCAAACAAGUAAGUGUGGUGGUGAGUUUGGGAUUUGGGAAUGGGGAAGAGAAAACUUCAACUCUCGCUUCACCAAAAGAAUUAUUGGAGAAAAAUGAAAUUGAGGUUAGAUGGGACAUGAAGCAAAAACUAGUCCUGAACUUGCAUGAGCCAGUUAGAGGUAACAACAAUUUGGCAGCGAUGAAGCGUGAAGGUACAAGCCCUGCAUGUUGAUACUGGAACCAGGGUUGAGAGCUGAAGCCCAGAAAAAUCCAAAGCCCCACUGGAAGGUGGGCCCAGUAAGAACACUUGACUCAUAUUUCUAGCUUAGAAAACAGAGAAAGAAGGAAAAUCCAGACUGCACAGAUCAUGACAGUACAGCCUACAAAGACAAUGUUACUAAUCUUAGCCAGUUUGCUGCAGUAACUUCAGUUAGUUUAAUAUCUGUUAGUUGGAGCUCAGCUUAGUGUCCCUAUCACUCAUGUUGAGCCAUUUUUGCAUCAGUGAAACCAAAUGUAUAGCUAAACUUCAGGCUUAUCUUUAAUUCAUAAUCAUUUACUUAUACAUUUAUUUAUUUACUUUUACAGACCUAUCAACCUGAGUGUUUAGCUGUAAGUUUUAGAUGUUAUUGGUGUUUUUCCACAACCCAUCCCACUCUGUAUCCCACACACUGAAGUCCCUCUGCCAGUGGAAAGCCAAAGUGGUAGUGGUAGUGGGCAGUUAGCUUUUAGUGUGCAAUGUUU